CUGUUUUAGCUUCCACUUCCAUGGUCGGUCUCGCGCACUGAGAGACGUGAAGCAAGAUACAACACUUGCAAUAAUCCAAAUCCUCCCCAUUUCUUCUGAACCAAAAACCCUAAAACCCACUUACCUUUCUUGUCUCGUCUUUCUCUCUGGAGAUGGCUUCUUCGAUAUCUCUAAGGCCGACGAGCCUUAUCCUCUCAUCAACUUUCUCUACAGGCAGAGUCCUCCACUUCCGCCGCUCCCCUUUCAGCCGCACACCGUCGUCUUCCUCUUGUCGCCAUCGGACUCUGGUUGCUCAAUUCGGAUUGGGACCAGGUUCGUUUCCCGACCCAGGCUUCUCACUCGAUUUGAUCAAGGACCAUGCUGAGAGUCUUCUCUACACCAUCGCUGAUGCCGCCGUUUCGUCCUCAGAAACGUUUGAAUCUGUUUCCGGCACUACCACAAAGCAGAACAGUGAUUGGUUCUCUGGUAUCGCCAAUUACAUGGAAACUAUUCUCAAGGUAAAGUUCUCUUUUUUUUUUUGUGAAUCUAUUAUGUUGCUUUAUAAUUGUACUUGGUUAUGAUUUGAAUUGUAGGUUUUGAAAGAUGGGUUAUCGACAGUAAACGUACCUUACUCUUAUGGUUUUGCUAUCAUUCUACUCACCGUGCUUGUUAAGGCUGCUACGUUCCCCUUGACGAAAAAGCAGGUCUUUUCACUUUGUUUCUAUUACUGGCUAAAUGCCAAGAUUCAAUUAUCUUACUUAAGUGGUGUGGUGGUUCGUUUCUGUACAGGUCGAAUCUGCUAUGGCUAUGAAGUCUUUGCAGCCUCAAAUUAAGGCCAUUCAGGAACGCUAUGCUGGUGAUCAGGUGAAACCAUUUCUUCCAUAAAGAAAAGCUUUUCCUGAUGCCCAUACUAAAUCCAUCAUUAGUUCAUGGAUUUUGAAGGAAAAAAAUGUAGGAACAAGCGUGUAGCUUUUGGUUUCAUCACUGUGGAGUGAUUCUUAUGAAUUUACCAAAGAUUAUAGCUUUAACUUUUAUGAAUGUAGCCCUCUUGUUAAAACAGAGAGCUUGUUUAUGUUUUGCAGGAGAGAAUUCAGCUUGAAACUGCCAGAUUGUAUAAACUCGCUGGAAUAAACCCCCUUGCAGGUAAAGUUGAUUGCUUCAGACUUUUCCAUUUGAGACAGUAGAAACAUAAUCUCUUUCUUAGCGUCUUCCAGCUUGUGGUUAGGCUAUAUCUUCAUUUUUUUUCUUUCUGUUAGGGUGCCUCCCCACACUAGCCACUACUCAAUAAUAUACAAUUUUUGAAUUAUAUACACUGGUUUAUAAUUUUUGUUGACAUAAAUCGACGUGCGUGAUGUUUUGUUGCAGGGCCACUUACCACCACCAUCAAUCAUCAUCAUUAUGGGAGUGAACAGACGGUCAUCGCACCGAAUGCAGACACCGUAACACAGAUACAUAAUGCAAAGUGAUUACUUAUGAAUCCGACUUCAACCAUCACCCUCCAAUCUAUUAUGUUACUAUUCUGUCUCUUUGAUUAUUUGUUGUUGUCGCUUACUAUUUUGGUCUUUCCAUCAUCAUUUGAUUCAGAUCUGUUUAGAUUCGAAUUGAUGAAUUUAGGUUCAGUAUGUGCGUCUGCAUUUGGUUGUGUUUAAACGUUAACUAGGCAUGUGGUACCUCACAUAAUGCUAAAUUGAGUACGCUCAAGAGUGACAUGGGUGUUUCACUGACACAAAUCAAGUACAUGACUCUCAUGUCUAAACAUCAAGCAGAACGUUUAAGGGCUUGUCCCAAAACGAUGAGAAAGAUUUGGUGACAAGAAGAUUUGACUUAAUGGUGCCUACUACGACGGUCUUUCGAUGAGUGCGACGAUUCGCGAUAGUCACGAUCGCGAGAAGAGUGAUGUCUUGAUCUAUCACCAUAAUCCUUCAGUCUAUCUCUUGACCGAUGAUGACUACGCUCUUUUAGUUUGUCUCUCUCCCUAUCACUCUCCUUGUCAGAAUCUCUGCCUCUGUCUCUGUGAGACCUACUACUGGCCCUGUCCCUCUCUCUACCUCGUUCCUUCUCUCUAUCACUCUCUCCUACUUUACUUCUUCCCUCCCUCGAGUCUCCCACAAUUGGCAGACUGUUUGACUCCGUAUCGCUCUUCUUCACAUCUGUAGCCAUUUCAUGAGGUGUGUUAUUCUUUCCAUCCUUAGACUCGUUAUUAACAGAUCCUGAAGUACCCUUCGUAUCAACAGCACCGUCAACUGCCGGUGAAACAUCCUGUAACACAGUGGCAAAGUACAUCAAACCAAAAACUGAUAAAAGGUAAAGCGAAACGCACAAUAUCCAAAGCUAUUCUGUUUGCUCCUUCAAGAAAUGGACUCAACAUGAUAUGGAGAAUAAUCUUAAAGCUUUCGCACAAAUCACAAAAACUUAGAUAACGAGCUAUCAUCUAUCUCACCUUUGUAGCUGAUUGAGAUUGAGAAUUCGCGGAUCUACUGGAAAAGGUAAAAGGCUUCCCAUCCUUGCAAACUGAGAUAUACUGAGCCUUUGGGAGACUGUAUAGAUGAGCAAGAACUCUACACACUUCGUCAAUACCAGAUUUAUCUGCAUCAAAUGCUUUCCACCAGGGUGGAUUCUCUGGGAGAGGAACUUGAAACCUACGUGCAGCAGCAUACACGACCCCACAAGCCACAACCUCACUUCUGAACCUUACACAAAGGGUUGUACGCAGACUGCAUUUAUAGACAUUUAUCACACGGGAUCAAAUGAGAAAACAUCACAGAAGUAAUAAUCAGAUAUUAAGAAAACAACACUACUCAAAACAGAACAGUGCAUAUGUUAUUCCGAGCUUCAGCUCAAAGGCAACUCUAAAACCUAUUGACACAAUGAUGUACAGCUAACUCGAGUAAUCAAAUUUAAAAAUAUCCAAGUAAAAUUAGAGGUUACCUAUCAUUUGCCAAGUUCCAAGCCUCUUGCCUCAAUUCUGGAGGUGUUUCAAGUGUGGCAAGGUAGUUUGAGAUGAACUUGUGAGGAUGUUCAACAUGACAAACAAAACCCAUCUCUUUCAGUAUGUGUCUCUCAGUUCUGCUUAAUUCAACUUUCAACUCAGAAUACUUCUGCAGAAAAUCAACAAGUGGGAAAAGGAUGAGAUACGAAAAUGAUAUAAGAAAAAACACGACAUAUAAAAGAAAAGGCAGUGUCUCAAUUUAAUGCACGCACGACACAUAUAUACAUAAAAAGCAUUCAACAUGACAAAUAUGGAACCUGUCAUAUAAUGGUGCAGUGUGCAUACUAACCUUGGAAAACAAAUCAAGAUGAUCUAAUGGUAAGUUCUCCCUGCGGCACUCCAUCCUGUGGAAGACAAUGAUGACCUGCCUAGCUUUCUUAGGGUUUUCUUCCAACUUUGACGCAAGCCAGACACAGCUCGCAGCAACUAUCUGUAUAAGGUAAACACCAAAACCGUUAUGGUUACAGGCAGGAGGAGUCACAAAAAGUAAAGAAUCUUCACACUGAAACUAAAACCGCAGGUGUUUAUCAAGUUCAAAGGCCUCAAGAAACAGAGAUAAGUAAGUAGUACCUUAACAUCGAACUUGGCAAGAGACUUCUUGCAAUAGAAACGGUGGAAAAGAACCUGCCCAGUAGCCAUAACAGCCUGUGGUCUAAAGAUUCAACAAUAUAAGGGUUAAGGAAUAUCUAAAGUUGUAUGUAAUGUGACAUUUGAGCUAUCAGCAAAAACAUACGGAGACCAAGACGAAGAAAAGGAUACAGUCUGAGCAAGAUUCCAGCUUCUUGGAUGAGAUCACAUCCAUAGAUCCUAAGUGUCGUCUCGGUUGUUUCAUCGAUCCCAUCUUUCCUGGAAGGUGAGUUCUUUAUCUGCUCCUCCGGUAAGUAGAAAUUGUCGAUUGCCGUGUAAAUCAUCGAUUCUGUUACAACCCAUAGAAAGAGGAAAAAAAGACAAGUUAGCUUAGAUUCCGACACACCAUUGAUGUUAGCAGUGAAAAAGCACACAAGAAAAUAAAGAAGUGAUGUUAUCAUGAAUGUAGCAAAAUCGAGAAAGCGUCAAAGCUCCAACGCAAUCAAGAAUCUAGCUUCUUUCACUAAGUCUACUGAUAGCUUAAUUAAAACACGAAAAAGUAUGUACCCGGAAAGGUGAGAGAGACGGCGGCGAGGCGAUUUGAGGGACGACGGACGACGGACGAAGGGAUUCAAUCUGGGGAUCGAGGGAAGUUCUCAGAAAACAUUAAUGUAAAGGAAAUUAGAAAAAGAGCAAACAAAAGAAAUUGGGCCUACUAAUUUAACUAGGCCCUAAUUGGGCUUUAUCAACCAAAAUAAUGUGAUUUAUGAUUGGCCCAAUUAAAAAUGGCAGCGACAGGAUAAAGAAAUUCAGAACAAAACAAAGACUGUUUUAGCUUCCACUUCCAUGGUCGGUCUCGCGCACUGAGAGACGUGAAGCAAGAUACAACACUUGCAAUAAUCCAAAUCCUCCCCAUUUCUUCUGAACCAAAAACCCUAAAACCCACUUACCUUUCUUGUCUCGUCUUUCUCUCUGGAGAUGGCUUCUUCGAUAUCUCUAAGGCCGACGAGCCUUAUCCUCUCAUCAACUUUCUCUACAGGCAGAGUCCUCCACUUCCGCCGCUCCCCUUUCAGCCGCACACCGUCGUCUUCCUCUUGUCG
rnacentral:lncRNA from 1 species